UACAGAGGUCCCAAGCGUUGUUCGGAUUCACUGGGCGUAAAGGGUGCGUAGGCGGUCGGGUAAGUCUGAUGUGAAAUCUCACAGCUUAACUGUGAAACUGCAUUGGAUACUAUUCGGCUUGAGAGUUGGAGGGGGGACUGGAAUUCUUGGUGUAGCAGUGAAAUGCGUAGAUAUCAAGAGGAACACCAGUGGCGAAGGCGGUUCUCUGGGCCUUACCUGACGCUGAGGAGCGAAAGCGUGGGGAGCGAACAGG
rnacentral:rRNA from 1 species